UUGUACGUCGAAUUUGGGCAAUCUAACGGUCAAUAAUUACGCUGAUCAACAAUCUAUAAAUUACGUCCAUUUUAUGAUUUGAGGAUAGAUAUGUAAUUUUGAUUUCAGCAUAUCCGUUUAUUUCAUAAAAUAGAUACAAUCAAAUCGGCUAUUUACGGAAGAGUAAUAAGUGGGAUAUGGUAGUUACGUCAAUAACGCUUUUUUUCCAACGUGCAGUGGCUUUCCUUCUUCACCGUGAAUUGCUGCUCAACACUUCAGAAAGAAUACUCUGCUUCGAAUGUAUGCCAUGGAAUCUCAAGGAUUCAUUCAUUAUAUGUGUUGCCAUGGAAGCACUCGUUGACAAUCUUAAAUAUUAAACAGAUUGUAAGAAAACUUUAUGAAAAACACAUUAUGUUGUUGUGGAGACCAUGAUUAGAAUAGAAAAUUUUGUUGAACAUCAAAGCACCAGAGAUUAAAACUAAAGUUUUCUAGAUGAAUUACGUUAUGUUCGAUCAAUAUGUUCAUUCAACUUGCAAACAUCUUCGGGGCUUCAAGUCGUAUAGACUGGUGGUUAUGCACUUUAAUAUCAUGAGCAUAGAUACUGAUAUGGAAAAUUCAUUUCUGAUCUUAUUCUUUGCUAUGCACUCAAAGGUAAAUGUUGGUUCA